GACAAUGUAGGUAAGAAAAACUGAGACACCUGACUCCAAAAAUGAACUGUUAAUAAUAAUGAUGUUUCUGUGACUUUGUAUUUACCUGGGGCUUAUCUGGUUCUGGAAUCUUGCUGAUGAAGAUACGGAGGACGACGAAGAAGAAGAAGAAGAAGAGAGGUUCUUCACGAGUGGGAUUAGUGAUUGCACUACAUCUGUCAUU
rnacentral:lncRNA from 1 species